rfam:Schistosoma margrebowiei strain Zambia genome assembly, scaffold: SMRZ_scaffold0000511
UCCCAGCUGACGAGUCCCAAAAUAAGACGAAACGUGUGUCCUGCAU